rnacentral:rRNA from 1 species
GGGAUAACCGCUGAAAGCAUCUAAGCGGGAAGCCCCUCCCAAGACGAGUUUUCCCUAUGAGACCCGUUGAAGACUACAACGUUGAUAGGCCGGGUGUGGAAGUGCGGUAACGCAUGGAGCUAACCGGUACUAAUUGGUCCAUUGUCUUUUUGUA